CUUGAGGGAGCCCAGCCACAGGGGUUCGCCGUCGGCGCGUUCCUGGCCGUAGGUGGCCAGGAGGGCCUGGGCUUC
rnacentral:antisense_RNA from 1 species